rnacentral:tRNA from 1 species
GCCACCUUAGCUCAGUCGGCAGAGCACUUGAUUCGUAAUCAGGGGGUCCGGGGUUCGAAUCCCCGAGGUGGCUCCA